CCCAACCCAGGGUCAACGCAGCCGACCGCACGUGGGGCUUGCCAGGGGGUGCAAUGAGCCCCCGGCCAGACGUGCAGGGAGAGGGGGAAGGCACCAAGCGGGACCUGCGGAGAGGAGGGAGGCUGCACGGCUACACAUGGACUGCACUGCAGCAAGCUGAAUAAUUUCAAGCAAUUAACUUUUACCACAUGGCACCAAACUCAGAACAUUGACUUAAAUCAGUUGAAGAAAAGACUCUUGAAGGGAAAUGAGAAGUAUGUUGCAUUGCAAAACCACCGUUAAAAAUUUCUGGAAGACACGGUCUUCAGAAAAAUUUCAAAGAGGAACACUCCACAGUCUCUUACUACUUGGGACAAGUAGUUCUGAACUGAAAAUGAAUACUGCUUCCUAAAAGUAAUAAUGUAAUACACUGCAUUUUAUAGCACUUUUUGUCUAAGCAUAGUUUGAACAAUAAAUUGAACUUCAACCAUG